ACCUGGUAAAGAAACCCCGGCUAACUCCGUGCCAGCAGCCGCGGUAAUACGGAGGGGGUUAGCGUUGUUCGGAAUUACUGGGCGUAAAGCGCGCGUAGGCGGAUCGGAAAGUUGGGGGUGAAAUCCCGGGGCUCAACCCCGGAACUGCCUCCAAAACUAUCGGUCUAGAGUUCGAGAGAGGUGAGUGGAAUUCCGAGUGUAGAGGUGAAAUUCGUAGAUAUUCGGAGGAACACCAGUGGCGAAGGCGGCUCACUGGCUCGAUACUGACGCUGAGGUGCGAAAGUGUGGGGAGCAAACAGGAUUAGAUACCCUGGUAGUCCACACCGUAAACGAUGAAUGCCAGUCGUCGGGUAGCAUGCUAUUCGGUGACACACCUAACGGAUUAAGCAUUCCGCCUGGGGAGUACGGUCGCAAGAUUAAAACUCAAAGGAAUUGACGGAAGGGCGAAUU
rnacentral:rRNA from 1 species